CUAUUUUUUAGAGAAAGAAGAAGGAAAAGAUCCUUCAAAAGGAAGAGAAUCAUCGCCUAUUAGCUAACGAAGCUCCAGAAGAUACUCAAUCAAAUGACAGCCGAAGUAUUCCUUGGUUUUCUCGUAAAGUUCCAACUAAUGAAUUAAUAGAUAACAUUCAUGAUGGGAACCAAUCAGAUUCAACGUCUCAUAACAUAACCAAAACCAGAGAACUUUCUGAUCGUGAACAAUUAGAUUUAGAAUUAAUACAGAGACUUAUUAGAUCAUACUUUAACAUCAUCAGAAAGAAUAUUCAAGAUAGUGUCCCAAAAGCUGUAA
rnacentral:lncRNA from 1 species